rnacentral:lncRNA from 1 species
AGGAGAAUGUCUCAGGAACCUAGGACGCGCUCUCUUUUCCUGAUCCUUUUUCUGAGCCAUGGAGUGGCAGGUCAGAAAGCUUCAAAUUCCUGGCAGGAUUUGCAUCCAUUGUUGCAAAAAAUGGCGGUGAGUGUUCCAUUUACUUUUAAUCAAAAUUCCCUCCAUUGGAACUGCUGACUUUUGAAU